rnacentral:lncRNA from 1 species
AUGAUCGUGAUUAGGAUUUUAUUUUAUUUUAUUUUAUUUUAUUUUAUUUUAUUUUAUUUUAUUUUAUUUUAUUUAUUUAUUUUGGUAAAAUCUCUGCUGUUGCAGACCUCAGCUAUGCUUAAAACUGUUGAAAGGCAAAAAACAGAUGCUCUGACAAGCAACGGAGAAAAGCAGACACUGAGAGGGAGAUGCAGCGUUCCGCAACGUCUGAAGAUGGUUAAUCCCCAAAAAGGACCAAUUAAAAAGACUGCAGGAGUGAUGCAGCUUCCAAACCUAAAACCCUGAUUUAAUAUACUUUUUUUUUUUUAAUCUGAAAAUUUCUGAUUUGAAAAUGAAUGUGUUUAUGCUUUAUUACACCAAACCCAGACCAGCACAUCUUCUUGGCAGCUGUAGUGUAAGUUCCUCUUUGCUUGUUGGAAUUGUUCUUGUAGUUGACUUUUUUGUUCUGGUGAUCUCUGACUCUUUUCAUUCUGGUUCUCAUCAGUUAUUCUGGGUAUCUGGGAGCUGGGAUCUUUGGAGAACAUUUAGUCAAUCUGGUGGAACUGGUAGGUAGUACUGUUGAGUCUGUAUGAUUUUUGACAUCUCAAUCAAGGGAAAGCGAAUGCAGAGUAAUAUAACCUGAAAUGUAAUCUCUCUACCCAAAAAGUAAAUCUCUGCAGUAAUUCCAUCCAAGAGCAUAUGGUAUAGCAGCUAAGAAAAUAUCCAAGUAGUCUGAUGUUGUUACAGCUGAAUGUGCCUUUCAUUUUACUCUUAAGAAGACCAGCACAUAGCCAGUACCUUACAAUAGAGUUCCUUUCCAACAUAAAGUUAUUUUUUUUCCAUUACUCCAGCAGAGGGACGAAACACCUCCAACUUUUUAAAAAGUUGGCUUGUCGUAAAACCUUUUGUUUGCAUGUUUUAGAAGCACACUGUCAUGUCUAGCCAUUAUAGGCACCAGUUACAGAAAGAAAUGAAAGAAAAAGUCAGCGUUUUUAAUCAAGGAUACUUCAGAACAUGUCUUGUGAGGGGGGGUUGUUUCUUUUAAACAUUACAUACACAUUACGUUUCCUGAUAUUGGCAUGUUGUUAUUUGCAGUUUGAAUUCUCCUGUGGAUGUUUUUAUCCACAGUCUGGGUUCCAUAAAAAUCUUUAUGUACUGUUCAGUGGUGCUGAUCCAUAUAUAUUUACGGCCCAAAAUAGUGCCAGUUUUUAAAAUAAUCUCUUCAGUGAACAGUAGGACUACUUUGUCUUUUCAUUCUUAAGAAUGCAAUUGUAGUUUCAUUACCUACAGCAUUUUAGUCAUUAAACUUUGACAGAAUACUUUUUAGUAGCAACAGAAAAAAUGUUUUGGUAAUGAAGCUUCAAGCUUCUGGGUUACAUCAUAAAAGCUCUUGGCUAAGCAAAUAUGGUUGAUUGACUGCCCUUUAUUAUUUUUAAGAGCAUCCUUAGCUCUUUGCAGUAUCUGGUAAAGCUUUUUGCCUCUUUAAGAGCAGUACAAAUAGUUCCUUAUUACUGGCAGCAUUAAAGCGAGGCUGUAAUUAAACUCUUACAAAAAGAUCAAUGAUGCCAUUAUAAGAUCCAGGGAAAGAAGACCUACAGUAUUGUACAGCAUAUUCUGUAUGCAGAAAUCGUUUUUCUCUUACAUAGUAUGAGAUUUAUUACAGAUAUUUCUAAUGUUACUCUGAUGCACCUGGUAUAAUUCUGUCCUACGCAGGCUGGUCUGCAUAGCACAGCUGAUGAGGGUUCCUCUUCCUGUUUUUACAUGGAAAGUUUCCAGAUUUUAUUUGUCAUUGGGGAGAGAGAGAAAAAAUCACCAUAAUGGUUCUGUUGGCAUAAAAGACAAGGACAUCUGCAGUAGCAAAGAAUAUCCAGUUCUUGGAUUCAUGCAGCAGACAUUACUGCUGUCUCUAAAUCAAAUGUUAGUCAAUGCAGUUGACUGUAGUCCUUGUAACACUUCACAGGAAUUGGAAACUUUGCACCAGGAUGACACAACAGCAAUUGUUCACAGCUGGAGAGUUAAUUACUUACCUCAUGGGUACUUCUUGCUGAGGUAACAAUUCUGAAGCUUAAAAAGAAGCAUUUGUUGAUAUUGUUGAUGCAAUAAUGACCUGAGGAGAGGAGCAGACUGUGUCCUCUUAGUCCCUAUUUCAGCACACCAGGAGCAAGAUCAGGAUUUGAAACUCAGCAGUAUGGUAAUUAAGCCCUGAAACAUGUGUUUCACCGUUCUAAUUAUGUGUCCAGCUGUAGCAUUUGCUUUGCAAAGUGGUGAUAGUUCUUUUUACUGUAGAAAUUACUUGGCACUUCAUUUCCCUCCUGUCUUUCUGAAAAUAAGGGCAGGCUGAUGACUUUGAUGAGUAAAGUUUCUUUGCAACAGCAAAAAGUGUUUUGUUGUAUCUUUGGACAUGAAUAAAACGUUUACACUGUUUAUUUUUUGUUUGUUU